ensembl:lncRNA
AUGUGUCAAGCGUUUAUUAGCACAUGGAAAUAAGCUUCAGGUCUGUUUUAGGUCUGCUUCAGGUCAGCUUUAAGUCUGCUUCAGGUCUGCUUUAAGUCUGUUUUAGGUCUGCUUCAGGUCUGCUUUAAGUCUGUUUUAGGUCUGCUUCAGGUCAGCUUUAAGUCUGCUUCAGGUCAUCUUCAUGUCUACUUUAAGUCUGUUUCAGGUCUGCUUUCGGUCUGGUUUAGGUCUGUUUUAGGUCUGCUUCAGGUCAGCUUUAGUUCUGCUUCAGGUCUGCUUCAGGUCUGCUUCAGGUCUGCUUCAGGUCUGGUUUAGGUCUGCUUCAGGUCUUCUUCAGGUCUGCUUUAAGUCUGCUUCAUGUCAGCUUUAGUUCUGCUUCAGGUCUGCUUCAGGUCUGCUUCAGGUCUGCUUCAGGUCUGCCGUCUCUGCAGGAGAACAGUGAGCUGAAGUUCACGUGUCGGGCUCAAACACGUGGGCUCCUCCGCUGUUAAAGAUCUUGACUCGUCUCCUGCGCAGGACCCGGGUGCCCCUGGGCGUACCGGGCCGCGUCAGGGCCGGCGAGCCCCCCCCGCCCCCCUCCGCCCCCUC